rnacentral:rRNA from 1 species
GAGUCUGUCCCUGGCUCAGGAUGAACGCUAGCGGCAGGCCUAACACAUGCAAGUCGAGGGGUAAGCGUAGCUUGCUACGCCUAGACCGGCGCACGGGUGCGUAACGCGUGUACAAUCUACCUUUUACUGGGGAAUAGCCCGAAGAAAUUUGGAUUAAUGCCCCAUAGUAUAGAGCAGUGGCAUCACAGCACUAUUAAAGCUUCGGUGGUAAGAGAUGAGUACGCGUUCUAUUAGUUAGUUGGUGAGGUAACGGCUCACCAAGGCUAUGAUAGAUAGGGGUUCUGAGAGGGAUGUCCCCCACACUGGUACUGAGAUACGGACCAGACUCCUACGGGAGGCAGCAGUGAGGAAUAUUGGUCAAUGGUCGGAAGACUGAACCAGCCAUGCCGCGUGCAGGAUGACGGCCUUAUGGGUUGUAAACUGCUUUUGUAUGGGAAGAAUAAGGGGUACGUGUACUCUGAUGACGGUACUAUAUGAAUAAGCAUCGGCUAACUCCGUGCCAGCAGCCGCGGUAAUACGGAGGAUGCGAGCGUUAUCCGGAAUCAUUGGGUUUAAAGGGUCUGUAGGCGGGCUAUUAAGUCAGAGGUGAAAGCACUGAGCUCAACUGAGUAACUGCCUUUGAAACUGAUAGUCUUGAAUACUUACGAAGUAGCUGGAAUGUGUAGUGUAGCGGUGAAAUGCUUAGAUAUUACACAGAACACCGAUAGCGAAGGCAUGUUACUAGUAAGGUUAUUGACGCUGAGGGACGAAAGCGUGGGGAGCGAACAGGAUUAGAUACCCUGGUAGUCCACGCUGUGAACGAUGGAUACUAGCUGUUUGCGAGAAAUUGUGAGUGGCUAAGCGAAAGUGAUAAGUAUCCCACCUGGGGAGUACGCACGCAAGUGUGAAAACUCAAAGGAAUUGACGGGGGCCCGCACAAGCGGUGGAGCAUGUGGUUUAAUUCGAUGAUACGCGAGGAACCUUACCAAGGUUUAAAAUGGGAAGCGACGUAGGUAGAGAUACCUAUUUCUUCGGACGCUUUUCAAGGUGCUGCAUGGUUGUCGUCAGCUCGUGCCGUGAGGUGUCAGGUUAAGUCCUAUAACGAGCGCAAACCCCUGCCUUUAUUUGCCAUCGAGUAGAGUCGGGCACUAUAGAGGGACUGCCGGUGCAAACCGUGAGGAAGGUGGGGAUGACGUCAAAAUCAUCACGGCCCUUACAUCUUGGGCUACACACGUGCUACGAAUGGUCGUUACAGAGAGCGGCCAACGGGUGAA